UAGGGAAUCUUGCGCAAUGGGCGAAAGCCUGACGCAGCCAUGCCGCGUGAAUGAUGAAGGUCUUAGGAUUGUAAAAUUCUUUCACCGGGGAAGAUAAUGACGGUACCCGGAGAAGAAGCCCCGGCUAACUUCGUGCCAGCAGCCGCGGUAAUACGAAGGGGGCUAGCGUUGCUCGGAAUUACUGGGCGUAAAGGGCGCGUAGGCGGAUGUUUAAGUCGGGGGUGAAAGCCCGGGGCUCAACCUCGGAAUUGCCUUCGAUACUGGACAUCUUGAGUACGGGAGAGGUGAGUGGAACUCCGAGUGUAGAGGUGAAAUUCGUAGAUAUUCGGAAGAACACCAGUGGCGAAGGCGACUCACUGGCCUGUUACUGACGCUGAGGCGCGAAAGCGUGGGGAGCAAACAGGAUUAGAUACCCUGGUAGUCCACGCCAUAAACGAUGAGUGCUAAUUGUCGGCAUGCAUGCAUGUCGGCGACGCAGCUAACGCGUUAAGCACUCCGCCUGGGGAGUACGGUCGCAGAUUAAAACUCAAAUGAAUUGACGGGGUCAUAGCUGUUUCCUG
rnacentral:rRNA from 1 species